rnacentral:rRNA from 1 species
AUGUUUACCAUCAUGGUUGUGAAGGGUGGUAAAGAGCCGCCACAAUUUAUAAAGGAUGUGUUGAAACAACUAUCCACCAUCCCCAAACAAAUUGAGGAGUGGAAGAAAUCAUCCGCCCGGACUGGUGCGAUGAUGUCACUUAGUCGCGCCAAAGCUUUUUUGCCAGAGAUGGAGACGGCUGAGAUGCUUGGCGGCUUUCAUGAAUUCAAUGUUGACGGCACUCAGUUUUUUGCAAUAGACUAUGCCCGCUGCAUGAAGGAAACGCGCGUCUUGGCGAGUCAACUAGUUCAAGAUCUUGAUUUGAACAAGUAUCAGCCAACUUAUAAUGAGGAGAACGCACGAGUUAAGCCGCCAACCAUUGAACCUUUUGACCUGACUCCUGCACGGCGUAAGCAUAUCUUCGCUCCUGAUGUCGAUCCAUCAAUUAUCAUGCAAGUCGAUGCCAUCUUCCAAGCAUUAACAACUAUCGACUGGGAUCUGAACAACCUUCAGAUCGGAGAAGAAGAAGAGCCGGUGCAGGAUAAGCCAGAGGCUUCAAACACGGAAGAUCUUCAAGAAGGUGUCAACCGGGAAAGAGACAACCCGGAGGGCACAGAGGCCGGCUUAUAG